rnacentral:rRNA from 1 species
CCUACGGGAGGCAGCAGUGGGGAAUAUUGCGCAAUGGAGGAAACUCUGACGCAGCAACGCCGCGUGGGUGAAGAAGGUCUUCGGAUUGUAAAGCCCUGUCGGGAGGGAAGAAAAGCACAUGGUGAAUGUGUCUGACGGUACCUUCGAAGGAAGCACUGGCUAACUCCGUGCCAGCAGCCGCGGUAAUACGGAGAGUGCAAACGUUGUUCGGAAUUAUUGGGCGUAAAGGGCGCGUAGGCGGCUUGGUAAGUCAGAUGUGAAAGCCCUGGGCUCAACCCGGGAAGUGCGUUUGAAACUGCUAAGCUUGAGUGCAGGAGGGAGAGGUGGAAUUCCAGGUGUAGGAGUGAAAUCCGUAGAUAUCUGGAGGAACACCGGUGGCGAAGGCGACCUCUUGGCCUGAAACUGACGCUGAGGCGCGAAGGCGUGGGUAGCAAACAGGAUUAGAUACCCUGGUAGUCCACGCGGUAAACGAUGCUCACUGGUGCGUGGUGGCGAGACGCGUGUCGUAGUGCCGUACGUCGUACCGACGAGUAAGUAGAGCCGCCGUCGGGGAGGUAACGGUCGGCGAAGAAGUUAAACGUUACAAAGUAGAGUUGACGGCGUUGAGACGUUGCCGACGGACGACGACGAGGGAGGAGG